AUUCAGUUGACGAGUCCUGAAUAAGUCGAAACGCACGUCCUGGAU
rfam:Schistosoma haematobium scaffold591_1, whole genome shotgun sequence.